AACGAACGCUGGCGGCAUGCCUAACACAUGCAAGUCGAACGAGACCUUCGCGUCUAGUGGCGCACGGGUGCGUAACGCGUGGGAACCUGCCCUUAGGUUCGGAAUAACUCCCCGAAAGGGGUGCUAAUACCGGAUAAUGUCUUCGGACCAAAGAUUUAUCGCCUUUGGAUGGGCCCGCGUUGGAUUAGCUAGUUGGUAGGGUAAAAGCCUACCAAGGCGACGAUCCAUAGCUGGUCUGAGAGGAUGAUCAGCCACACUGGGACUGAGACACGGCCCAGACUCCUACGGGAGGCAGCAGUGGGGAAUAUUGGACAAUGGGCGAAAGCCUGAUCCAGCAAUGCCGCGUGAGUGAUGAAGGCCUUAGGGUUGUAAAGCUCUUUUACCCGGGAUGAUAAUGACAGUACCGGGAGAAUAAGCUCCGGCUAACUCCGUG
rnacentral:rRNA from 1 species